rnacentral:lncRNA from 1 species
GUCUGUCGGACACCUGGCAUAUGGGCACACGGCAUCAGUCCUUAAUAGUUUUAAAACUGUACUUUAGAGUGGCCACAUUGGUUCCCAGUGUCUUGAAGCCUCCGGUCAGAGCUCUGACGUACUGCAGUGCACGGAAAGGAAAGAGAAAGACAGUGAAGUCGGUUGUGCAUCGCUUCCUCCGACUUCACUCUGGCCUUUGGCUAAGGAGAAAGGCUGGCUAUAAGAAAAAAUUAUGGAAAAAGUCAACUGCAAGAAAGAAGCGCUUGAGGGAAUUCGUGUUCUGCAAUAAGACCCAGAGUAAACUCCUAGAUAAAAUGACGACAUCUUUCUGGAAGAGGCGCAACUGGUACACUGGUGAUCCCUACCAGAUGUACCAUGAUCGGACAAACCUGCGGGUAUAGUUCAGAGCUCACACAAGUUCCCAACUCUGGGAUGUGGAGCUUUAUGCACAGAUGUCCUUGCAAAAGUGAGUGUGUGUUAAACUGUAAACUGUACCGGCUGAUAGACAAACUUAGGUCACCACCAUUGUGCAUUAAACGUUCCCAGAGCUGGUCACUGAACUC